GGAAAUUUGGAAAUAGCUUCCACUUUAGCCAUAAUAGGUUUCACUUGACCUUGGCCAACUGUAUGCCCUAAAUAAUCAACAGUGGCCUGACAAAAUUCACUUUUACCAAGAUUUAACAGUCAAAUUUGAUUGUGACAAUCUAUCAAAAGUAUCAUACAAAUGUGUUAAAUGCUGUUCCCAGCUAUCACUACAUACAAUUAGAUCAUCAAUAUAAGCAUAACAACAGUUUAAAUCUUUUAUAACAUUAUUGAUCAUUCUUUGAAAUGUAGCUGGUGCACUUUUCAU
rnacentral:lncRNA from 1 species